GAUGAACGCUAGCGGCAGGCCUAACACAUGCAAGUCGAGGGGUAGGACAUUUCGGUGUCUGAGACCGGCGCACGGGUGCGUAACGCGUAUGCAAUCUGCCUUAUACUAAGGGAUAGCCCAGAGAAAUUUGGAUUAAUACCUUAUAGUAUAUAGAUGUGGCAUCACAUUUAUAUUAAAGGAUUUAUCGGUAUAAGAUGAGCAUGCGUCCCAUUAGCUAGUUGGUAUGGUAACGGCAUACCAAGGCAAUGAUGGUAGGGGUCCUGAGAGGGAGAUCCCCCACACUGUGACUGAGACACGGACCAGACUCCUACGGGAGGCAGCAGUGAGGAAUAUUGGUCAAUGGGCGCAAGCCUGAACCAGCCAUGCCGCGUGCAGGAUGACGGUCCUAUGGAUUGUAAAACUGCUUUUGUACGGGAAGAAACAACUCUCGUGAAGAGUCUUGACGGUACCGUAAGAAUAAGGAUCGGCUAACUCCGUGCCAGCAGCCGCGGUAAUACGGAGGAUCCAAGCGUUAUCCGGAAUCAUUGGGUUU
rnacentral:rRNA from 1 species